rnacentral:rRNA from 1 species
CUAACACAUGCAAGUCGAGCGGAAACGAGUUAUCUGAACCUUCGGGGAACGAUAACGGCGUCGAGCGGCGGACGGGUGAGUAAUGCCUAGGAAAUUGCCUUGAUGUGGGGGAUAACCAUUGGAAACGAUGGCUAAUACCGCAUAAUGCCUACGGGCCAAAGAGGGGGACCUUCGGGCCUCUCGCGUCAAGAUAUGCCUAGGUGGGAUUAGCUAGUUGGUGAGGUAAUGGCUCACCAAGGCGACGAUCCCUAGCUGGUCUGAGAGGAUGAUCAGCCACACUGGAACUGAGACACGGUCCAGACUCCUACGGGAGGCAGCAGUGGGGAAUAUUGCACAAUGGGCGCAAGCCUGAUGCAGCCAUGCCGCGUGUAUGAAGAAGGCCUUCGGGUUGUAAAGUACUUUCAGCAGUGAGGAAGGGGGUGUCGUUAAUAGCGGCAUCUCUUGACGUUAGCUGCAGAAGAAGCACCGGCUAACUCCGUGCCAGCAGCCGCGGUAAUACGGAGGGUGCGAGCGUUAAUCGGAAUUACUGGGCGUAAAGCGCAUGCAGGUGGUUUGUUAAGUCAGAUGUGAAAGCCCGGGGCUCAACCUCGGAACUGCAUUUGAAACUGCAAACUAGAGUACUGUAGAGGGGGGUAGAAUUUAAGUGUAGCGGUGAAAUGCGUAGAGAUCUGAAGGAAUACCA